rnacentral:rRNA from 1 species
AUUGAACGCUGGCGGCAUGCCUUACACAUGCAAGUCGAACGGUAACGGGCCUUCGGGUGCCGACGAGUGGCGCACGGGUGAGUAAUACAUCGGAACGUGCCCGAUCGUGGGGGAUAACGAGGCGAAAGCUUUGCUAAUACAGCAUACGAUCUACGGAUGACAGCAGGGGACCGCAAGGCAUUGCGCGGCCGGAGCGGCCGAUGGCAGAUUAGGUAGUUGGUGGGAUAAAAGCUUACCAAGCCGACGAUCUGUAGCUGGUCUGAGAGGAUGAUCAGCCACACUGGAACUGAGACACGGCCCAGACUCCUACGGGAGGCAGCAGUGGGGAAUUUUGGACAAUGGGCGCAAGCCUGAUCCAGCCAUGCCGCGUGCAGGAUGAAGGCCUUCGGGUUGUAAACUGCUUUUGUACGGAACGAAAAGCCUUCUUUUAAUACAGGAGGGUCAUGACGGUACCGUAAGAAUAAGCACCGGCUAACUACGUG